GUGCUUGCCUCGGCAGCGCAUAUACUAAAGUUGGAAUGAUAAAGAGAAGAUUAGCAUGGCCCUUAACAAGGAUGGCACGCAAAUUCGUCAAGUGUUCCAUGUUUUU